UAGCUCGGCUCUGACAUAGUUCCAACAAAUUAUGACAGAUGGCAGUUAUUUUGCUUGUAUGAAGAAGGUUUGAGUAAAAUGUUCUGAAGGGCGUAUCCUUCCUUUUGAAAUCAUUGUCUAAGCUACAUAUAAACAAGUUUAUUCCUUCGUCAGUAAUGGUCGCAAAAUAUUUAGCUUCUAUAUUUCUUAAUGAUGGUGUAGCGAGUCCGCGUUGUUCUAUGGUGUAGCUUAUCGAUCUGUUCUUGUUCAUAAAUCUGUAAUUUCUAUAAAAAUAUCACAGAAUCUGGUCGUAAAACACGUUUUAAAGGCUAUUUCAGUAGCAAAACCUGUGCCCAUGAAGCCACCCAUGUGGAAUGCACGUGUGCUCAUAGAAUAUCUACAGCAUUCAUCUCCGCUGGUAGAUAAAUUUUUUGGAGUAACUAAGAGAACAGCUACUUUACUCCUAUUAUACUCGGGGCGCAGGGUACAUGAUUUAACUUUGCUGCAUUGUAACAAUGAUCAUUUAAUUGACGAUGGUAAGAGUAUAGUCAUAGUUCCUGUGUUUGGUUCAAAACCAGAUACAAACUCAUAUCCACAGUCAGGUUAGAAGCUGCUAUCGGGGGCAGAUCAUAAUAUAGAUGUAA